rnacentral:pre_miRNA from 1 species
AAAAAGACAAACACUGGGUUUCCGUUUCCAACGUUUGACUGUCCAUCUUAUAUGAAAUUUUUUUAUAAUUAGUAUUUUCAUUGUUGUUAGAUGAUAAAACAUGAUUAAUACUUUAUACGUGACUUGUCUUUUUAAUUUUUUUAUAAUUUUUUAAAACGUUGGACACGGAAAUCUAUAG